UGGAAAUAAUUUUAUAAUAUUAAUAUUAGAGGAUAUUUUUUUGUACACAUCCUGCCAUGCUGACACGAAAGAGAUGAAAACGAUGGCUUGUUGAAACUUGCAGCUAAAAACUAACAAUAAAAUCGAAGAAUUUCAGGAUCAAAUCAAUAUAAAUCAAAAACCAUGGCCGGAAAGUUGAACUGUGUGAUCGUUUCCGUCGACGGCAGUGAAGAGAGCAUGAACGCGUUGAAUUGGACUCUUGAUAACAUUAAGCUCAAACCCCAUGAUCCUGAUUCUCCAGAAUCACAAGGGUUCAUUGUGAUUCUCCAUGUUCAAUCUCCGCCGUCUAUCGCUGCUGGUCUUAACCCUGGAGCUAUACCCUUUGGUGGCCCCAGUGAUGUUGAGGUGCCUGCGUUUACUGCUGCAAUUGAGGCACAUCAAAAGCGGAUCACACAGGCCAUUUUAGACCAUGCUCUUGGGAUUUGUGCUAAAAAAAAUGCUAACGUUAAGACCCAAGUAGUUAUUGGGGAUCCGAAGGAGAAAAUUUGUGAUGCUGUUGAAGAAAUGAAUGCUGAUUUGCUGGUGAUGGGUUCCCGUGCUUUUGGCCCCAUUAAAAGGAUGUUUCUGGGGAGUGUAAGCAACUAUUGCACAAACCAUGCACAGUGUCCAGUAAUUAUAGUUAAGGCUACUCCUUGAUGCGAACAUUCCAGGAAAGCACAUCUAAACAAGCUUAUACUGCGAGGAUUUGAUAUAAUUAGACUAUUAUUAUGCUAGUCACCAACUUAGUGCAUCUCUCGUACUGAGGCCAGUUAUGCCUUUAGAAUUUUGGGUUUGGUGACAUAUUCCGUCUUCUUUGGAUGAUCAGCCUUGAGCUGUAGUUAUGGGUUGCUCAUGAGAUGCAUGGAAUGUGUUUGUUCAAACAAGAUAAUAGUCGUCGUAUACUGUGGAAUAAGCUUGACUGGCUGUCUCUAUGCUGUAGAUCAUGUGUGUUUUGCAUUAAUUUAUAGAGGUGGAUUAGAUCUUGGUUUGUGUAUUCCCACAUGUGCUGUUUACACUAUACAAGAUUCACAUCAUGUGAGAGUGCAAGAACUAUCUGUGAAGGUGUGAAGGGUGUCAAUGUAAGAGCUUGCAUUUUAUUGUAAUUACAUUAUACUGAAUCAAUGUUUUUUAUUCUUUGUUCAUUGGAUUCUUGUAAGUGUGCAUUUUUAUUGAAAAUGACCAGAUGAAGCCAAGAGAAACUGAUUUACUGUUU